rnacentral:rRNA from 1 species
UACGAAGGGGGCUAGCGUUGUUCGGAAUUACUGGGCGUAAAGCGCACGUAGGCGGAUGUUUAAGUCGGGGGUGAAAUCCCAGGGCUCAACCCUGGAACUGCCUUCGAUACUGGACGUCUUGAGUCCGAGAGAGGUGAGUGGAAUUCCGAGUGUAGAGGUGAAAUUCGUAGAUAUUCGGAAGAACACCAGUGGCGAAGGCGACUUACUGGACACAUAUUGACGCUGAGGUGCGAAAGCGUGGGGAGCAAACAGG